CAGUAGCCACGGUAAUACGGAGGGUGCAAGCGUUAAUCGGAAUUACUGGGCGUAAAGCGCACGCAGGCAGUUUGUUAAGUCAGAUGUGAAAUCCCCGAGCUUAACUUGGGAACUGCAUUUGAAACUGGCAAGCUAGAGUCUUGUAGAGGGGGGUAGAAUUCCAGGUGUAGCGGUGAAAUGCGUAGAGAUCUGGAGGAAUACCGGUGGCGAAGGCGGCCCCCUGGACAAAGGCUGACGCUCAGGCGCGAAAGCGUGGGGAGCAAACAGGAUUAGAUACCCCUGUAGUCCCUGUCUCUUAUAU
rnacentral:rRNA from 1 species